rnacentral:rRNA from 1 species
UAAGCAUAUCAAUAAGCGGAGGAAAAGAAACCAACAGGGAUUGCCUCAGUAACGGCGAGUGAAGCGGCAACAGCUCAAAUUUGAAACCUGCCAACCGGCCGGAUUGUAAUUUGCAGAGGAUGCUUUGGGAAAGGUACUGAUCUAAGUUUCUUGGAACAGAACGUCACAGAGGGUGAGAAUCCCGUCCGUGGUCGGCCGCCUGCCCCGUGUAAAGCUCCUUCGACGAGUCGAGUUGUUUGGGAAUGCAGCUCUAAAUGGGUGGUAAAUUUCAUCUAAAGCUAAAUAUUGGCCAGAGACCGAUAGCGCACAAGUAGAGUGAUCGAAAGAUGAAAAGCACUUUGGAAAGAGAGUUAAACAGCACGUGAAAUUGUUGAAAGGGAAGCGCUUGCAAUCAGACUUGGGCGCGGGUACUCAGGGACGGUUCGCCGUUCUGUAUUUGCCCGCGCACAGGCCAGCAUCAGUUUUGGGGGUGGGAUAAAGGCCGUAGGAAUGUGGCUCUUCGGAGUGUUAUAGCCUACGGUGCCAUGCCACCUCCCGGGACUGAGGACCGCGCUUCGGCUAGGAUGCUGGCGUAAUGAUUGUAAGCGACCCGUCUUGAAACACGGACCAAGGAGUCUAACAUCUAUGCGAGUGUUUGGGUGUCAAACCCACACGCGGAAUGAAAGUGAACGGAGGUGAGAGCCCUUGAGGGUGCAUCAUCGACCGAUCCUGAUGUCUUCGGAUGGAUUUGAGUAUGAGCAUAGCUGUUGGGACCCGAAAGAUGGUGAACUAUGCCUGAAUAGGGUGAAGCCAGAGGAAACUCUGGUGGAGGCUCGCAGCGGUUCUGACGUGCAAAUCGAUCGUCAAAUUUGGGUAUAGGGGCGAAAGACUAAUCGAACCAUCUAGUAGCUGGUUCCUGCCGA